GCCACCCAUACCUCUACGGGUGUGACGUAGGCGACGUCGAUGAUGAGUGUCUUGAUCAUCUCGUUCCGUAUCAGCAGUGUAAUCAUCAUCAUAAUUGCCAUCCACUCGGUCUUCCUCCUUGUUUUCUUCCUUAUGCUUCUCUUUGUCCAUUGUGUGGAAGUCAUCAAAGCGUUUGAGAAGAGCAGCAAGACUUUUAUCCAUACUAGUAAUAGAUGCCUCCAUCUUUGUAAUCUUGUUGUUUGUGGCAAUCUGCGUGUCCUCCAACUACCCAAGCUUGUCAUUCGUCACCUUCAAGUCGUCAUCAAGCCCCUCUGUGUGUAGCUUCACUUGCCUUUCAAAAUGUUGUAUGAUGCCCUUAGUGCGAGGUGACUGUGGAAUUUUGUUGGUAUCCUCUGUCUCUGACAUGGUUUAAAAAACACACAGUGAAACAAGAAAAAUAGGUGAAGAAAUAAAAACCCUACAGCUAUUAGGAUGUGGCUACUGUAAGACGCUCUCUAUCAACCUGUCUAACAAGUUCUUACCAAUUCUUACCUUGCUCAACAGGAGGGAUUGGCUACCAACAAAUCCACAGCAAUGGACGAAGUGUAUCGGUGCCGCAGCAACAAAACCUAUCAAGCUGUAGAAUAUGUGGAGCUAUAGGUGAGCUGAAACAAGGAUCGAACUAGCACCACGUUAGUUAUAAAAAGCGAGCUGAAUAAACGCUCAACGGUGGUACUGUGCUGGUCCUAGCCUAGACCGUGCUAGAGACGCGAGCCUGGACACAAAGGGAAAACACAGCACACCACUAGAAACAAAAUGAGCAGCCCUACUGGAAACAAAAGGAACAACAAUCCCCUUUUUUUGAUUUUUUUUCUUUUUUCUUUCUUUCUUUCUUUUUUUUUAAUUUUUUUAUUUCUCUUUUCUUUUUUUGGGGAACCUCAAAACCUGAUUAUAUAAACAAAAUAGUACAAAAUAUCACUUCACCACUCUCACCCUCUCACUAGAGUAAGGCUGAACCUCAAAAUUCAAUAUAUCUAGCACAAGUAUGAAGUGCUAUCUUUCCUUUUGGAUCACGUUGAUGGAAACGCAGAAUAGACCAACAAGUGGCUGCACCUAUUAUCAAGAUCUACUCAAAUUCCAACCCACAAUAGAUUGGACGCAGUUGUGACUAGAUGGUGACAAGAACUCAAAACUCUAAAGGACUAAACUAAAACCAGCACUGGACACGACCGAAGCAAACACUCAUUCAACCAGCCCUAACUAAGUAGUACUAGCCACGGCACAAAGGAUUUAUAGGAUUAUGGAAAACAAAUCUGCUAUAUUUUUUGGCUUUUCUUGGACUAUAGGAAAAACAAACACGAAGAAUUGGAAAUCUCUCACCGAUAAACCUUGCUCUGAUACCAACUGAUGUGAACCCACUAGGGUUUUCGCCUGAUCUUUCGAUGAGAGGCGCUGGAUAACUCGAUUAGUGAAUGGAGAUGACGUUCACGGCCCGACUACAACCCUCAAGACCGCGCCUUAGCAACCGAUACACCGCCUCCAAUGGCUGUCACGAUCUUGUGGAGCGCAACACCCGGCCACUAGGGCACUCGUCCUGCAAGCAAUCGAAGAACCAUCAAGAACAAGUAGAACAAGUACUAAAUUACUAGAUGUAAAUGAAGGUUUCAAACUCAAUCUCUAAUGAAGUGGGGUUUCGAAAACAAGAAGACGGGCGGCUGGAUCAGCACGCGCCUUUACAAGCAAGUAGCGAAGGCUAAACUUUAUCUAAUCAAAACACAGUUGUUCAUGGCGGCUCUAGAUGUAAAUAAAUAGAGGGGAGGACAACCAAAGGGGUGCUAG
rnacentral:lncRNA from 1 species